GUUCCACCACAGGAAAAUGAAUUUAUUCAGGCCCUUUUGCUGUGUCAUGUGAAGGUUGAAAUGAGUUCAUACUGAUGUUUUCAGCUCUUGUCCGGAAACACGUGGUUUCCUCCAGCCCCUCCUUACUUCUCUGUAGCUCACUAUCCAACACAAGAAAUCUUCUUCGCCCACUUUUAACAAUUGUGGUAUUUGAUUUGUUAGAGCCAGGGUUUGUGUCGCAUCUUUUUAUUUCCUAAAUGAAGCACAGUGUCUCCUGUGGAUGUAGCUCUGCAUUGAUGUUGAAUUGACAUGUUUAACUUUGAUUUUUGCCAUCAGAAUUCUCUACAGAAGAGUUGCAUCAGCUUCUGUGCUCAUGUUCUGCCUGCCUGCUGCUGCUGCCUGCUUCCUCUCAAUUUCUUAUCCCUAACCCAGGGCCAGCAGGAUGAGGCAAGGUUUUCAUCUUGGUCCUCCGUGUUUCAAUCCAUAGGCUCAGAGAAGUUUUCCGCCUGGGCCAGUGGACAGUAACUGAUUGGAAUAUAAUCAUUCGCUCAUUAUGUCACUUUCCCAAACUUACUCUGCAUCAGGCCAGCACUAAUCAGGAGCUCCACCUCAAAGCUCAGAGUCCUGUUGGGAUAAUGUGCAUAAUGACUGUCUCAGACUGUGAGAUGGAAACCAGGCCGUCCCUGGUGUUCUUCUCAAACUUAGGUAAAUAUGCCUUAGAACACAGAGGCAUAGGGGGCACCUUCUGAGGGCUGCCUUUCCGGGCCCAUUGCCGUAAUCCAGGAGGGAAAAGGGCAGAAUCCUAAUAAGCGGAAGUAGCUCACGUGAGCAGCUGAGUGAGUGUUGUUCUGGGCCUUUCCUGAGCAUGGCAGUGAAAAAAACAGUAUUCAUAAUCAUGAUGAUAGGCGCCAUGAGAUCGUGAAAUGGCUCCUGAAUUGUCAAGAAAAUACAUAGAUGGACAGCCUACCCCCAGCCAAGGACAGAGAUGAAAGCGGCGCCCAGCAGCCCAGUCAGAUGGAUGGAGUGGCCUGAUUUCCCGAGGCAGCUUCGUGCUGAGUGCCCAUCACUGGGAGUGAGUCAGACAUACAGCUCAAGGUCUGCAGUAACAGAGUCAGGGAGACAAGGCAUAUACCACAAACUCAUGAAAAGUAACAGUACAGAAAGUAAGUAACGAUACAAGGGAGGCAGUAUGUUAUUAAUUGUCAGAGAACACAAGGUAGGAAGUCUGGGGCCCUGGAGAGCCUAGCAGAGUUGCCUCAGCACUGGAAUACUUUGUGCAAGAAGCAGGAACUGGAUAGGUGGGGGGAGGGUGCUGGGUACAGGCAGCUGAUGAACAAAGAUGGAAUGCAGGGAU
ensembl:lncRNA